GUACCGUUGAAGAGUCCCAAACUAGGACGAAACAGUUGUCCAGUAC
rnacentral:hammerhead_ribozyme from 1 species